AACAAAUUCAAUCAGUGAAUCUAUUCUACUUUUUGUUCGAGCAAAAAUUGUAAUCAAAGAUGGACCCAGCAGAUUAUAAGAUCGGCAGCAAACAAACUAAUCAAAGAGUUUGGAUUAACAAAAUGGAUUAACAUGAAUUACUUAAUAUUGCUGGUGAUGAAAAGUUUAAACUACUACCAGGUUUGGAUCGGAGAUUAGCCUUGGCUAACAAAGAGUGUGAAGCAUCGCCCAAUGAACCGCUACUCGAUCCACCAUCGGCAUCACCAAUUUCAUGAUCACUAAGUCCAGUGUCACUUUUAUACCCACUUGUAUGAAUAUCUGGUUUCCGAGCUUCAGGUAAAUUUGCUCCAAAUCAAAAGUAAUCACAAUUUUUGUUGGAUGAUAAAUGAGCAAUCAAUUUGAAAGGGAAACGAUAACCUGAUUGCAGUAAUUAAAGGAUGAAAUUUAAAAACCAGAAAUGCGUUGGAAAGUGAAAAAUGAAAAUGGUUGCUUACUUCGGCAAGGAGACUUUGAUUUAAUCCGAUUAGCCGUGUUAAUUGCGUAGUUAGCAUUUAAUCGUUGACUUCGUUUCAUCAACUGCUGAAUGUUUAUUUGAUCAGGAAAGCGAACAUAAUAUUCAGCUGAUCGACCUUUCUGUUGGUACAAUAAAACCAGUGAAAGGGGUUAAAUCAAUACUCAAAAGAUAAAUUUCUAAUAACAAAAAAUUCUCAUAAUUCUCCAUAGAAACUCACAUAAUCUGGUAAAUUUGGUGAAGCGCCAUGUUUUACUAAAAUAUUGUAAAUGGCUCGUUCAUCAUCUAAUCCUGCUGCAUAAUGAAGAGCAGUUCGACCAUCCUAAAUGAUCAAGAAAAUGUGGACAAAGAGGGUCAACAUUAGAUAACCAAAAUUGAAUGGGAGACAUUUUGAAGAAGACAAUUGAUUCAAACAAAAAAGCAAUGAAAUGAUGAAAAUGAUAAAUCGAUGAAACAAGUACGAAGUUCAUUAUGCAUACGCCUCAAUGAGAAAGAAAGAAAAGAAGGAGAAAUAAAAAUAAAACGAAAUAACAAAAGAAAGAGUAAAGAAGCUUUACCCUCUCUAUUGGCAAUGUCAUUAUCUUCAUUUAACUCUUUGUAAUUCAUCAUGUAAUUCCUGAUAUAAUCUUACAUGGUCACGAGCAUCCAAUGUUGCUGGAUAUUCACUUGACAGGAAAGAGGUAACCUCUAGUUGGCCAUACAAGACAGCUUUGUGUAAAGGAGUACAACCAAUUUGAUCACGAGCAAAGACAAUUCCCUUUCUAUCCAGAAGGCUUCUCAGAUCAUUUAGAUUACCCCGUUGAGCUGCUUUAUGAAGUUCAUUUAUUUGUUCCUGAGUAACACAAAUCAAUCAUGAAAAGAAGGAAAACAAGAAAAAGAAGAAGAAAAUGAAUAAAAAGACAAAAGAUUGAUAAACAAUCGAUCAAUCAAUUAAUGUAUAGACAAAGACAUUCAAAGAAACUUACAAUUAAUUGUGGAACAUUUUUCAAAAAUUCUUGGACAAGUGGAGCUGAUGAAGUUUCGCCAAUUAAUCUAUCACCAUAGCCUUGGAUUACAAUCUCUUCAAGUGUCGUUAUGUUUCCCUGUUUAAUCAACUCUCGUAUAUUACUUCGGUGCAUCAACGAUCCUGAUUAAAAAUUUAGCGACAAUUAGAGUAUUUCCAUGUCAUGUAGGAUAAAGAUAGAGCAAGAAUAAUAGAUUUAAAUGGUGAAAUCCAUGCUAACUGACGACAGAAUUGAAUUGUUGUUCUCGACAAUGGAGCAUGGAAGAGGCAAAGAAAUAACAAUCAAUCAAGAACAAAAAAUGGAUAUCAACAGUAAAAUAGUAAUGAGAUGAAAACAAUAGGAAAAUUGGGAAAGAAGGUCAAUUGUAACUUGAAAAAAAAAUUAUCACAAUCAUUAUGCAUUACUGUUUCAAUUGACGAUUUAAAAUUAUUCAUUUUCCCCAUUAUGUAUUAGUUAAUGGUUAAAAAUGGUUUUACGAUGCUCAUUGAUAGUUAAAUAAAACUGUUAUUCACAAUCAAAAUGAUAAUGAUUGUUUAAAAAGACAAACAAGAAGAGAUGAAAAAUAAGAUGAAUGGAUCUUUGACCAACUUUGAGGAUCAAUCAUACGACUUGCUGAUUUACGGCUUCGACGUUGACCCAAUGGACGAGUGACAAUUGCACUUUCCCUAAGAACCACCACAGAAACACCAUCUUGAUGAUUUAAAUAAUCUUCUGGCUUUUUACCAAACUGUUUGGAGGCAAAGAAAAAGGUCAAUCAGAAAGACGUCAUGUCAACAGGAGAAAAAUGAAAAUCUAGAAAAAUUAACAAUCAAUCAGAUGUUCGAUUGAUCUUGGGAAAAGAUUGAAAUGGGCAGAGAAAUUGUGGUCGCUCUAUAUUUGUCCAACACUGAUUGCAACCAUUGAUUAGGUAAAUUCAAUAUAAUCAAAGACUGAUGACACAAAUACAUAACAAUAUUUCAUCAAUAUCAAUGAAUAAUCUGACCUUGGUUAAAGGGUUUAUUUGAAGGAUUGGAGACACAAAGGUCCAUAGAUUGACACAAGGAGUUUUGAAUUUAUUCAGGCGUGUAACAUGGUAUAAAUCAUUAAAUGUGAAUAAUAAUUAUAUUGUAUUGAAUUAACCCCAACACAUGAAUAUUACUAUUAUUAGAAAAGUUAUGAAACUUAAUUGGAUCAAAAAUGGACCAGAAGGAGAUUUAAACACGGAAAUCAACUUUCUUUUUAAGUGAAAUGGACAGACAGGACAAGAAGGAGAAAAGGUUGGAAUCACGUUCAAAAAGUUAUAUUACAAGGAUAAUUGGUUGAAUGAAUUUGAUGAUGAAUAAAGUUGAUUAUCAAAAUUAACAGUUGAUAAUUAGUGAGAUAUUAACAUACCAUGUCCAAGGCUUUCUCAUCAGCACCAGCUUCAGCCAACAUGCGAUACAAGUCUGCGCUUUCGGGUAAAACAGCGGCGUAAUGUAAUGGAGUCCGUCCACGCUGUAAACAAUCAAGAUUGAUUGGUUAAAAGGAUUUUCACUUUAUCUCCCAACUGCCACCCACCUUGGUGAAGAUCUCUAUUGCUAUAACAAUCAAAACAAAUUUGGGUCAAUUGAAAUAAGUUACCAUGACACUGGACAAGAGACUGACCAAAGAGUAACAGAAAGGUUUGGGUGGCUUCAUUUUCAUGAUUACUGACAACCAAAUAUGAAACUUACAACCUUGAACAAUCAUUGAAUUGAUUAUUUGAAAUGAGAAAGCAAACGAUCAACAUUGAAGGAAAUAAUCGCAAUCAAUCAAAUUAUUAUUUACCAAUGAUGGAUGGAAUCAAAUAAUUAACAAAAGACUGUUCUAAUUGUUGGUUAACUGAUUAUUGAACUCACCAU